CACAACGUAAUUUUAAUAUAUCAUUAUUUAAUAUAAUAUAAUUUUAAUAAAAAUAUUUUUUAUAAUUUUUAUUUAUAAUUUAGCAUAAAUGUAAUUUAUAUUUAUAUUCUAUCAUUUGAUUUAAAUAUAAAGGUAAAGUAUAUUGACACUCACUCAAUUUUGAUUAAAAUAACAAAACAGUCACUAAUCUUUAAAAAGUUAUAACUCGGCCACGGAACUUCAAAAAAAUAACAAACUAACUAUUAAUAUUAUCGUAAAGUGACAAAUUAAUCACCUACAAACAUUUUUUGUUAUAGGCUUAACGGAAUAAAUUAACUAGUCACGUUGGACAUGUCCAUAUCAACUGGCCUUAACCAAAAAAAGAAGAAAAGGAACAGCUUGCGCUCCAGCGCCUUGAAGAACAGUGCACCCUGCAGAAGUGCCGCCUCUAAGACCUCCGCCGUUCUAACACCACCCCCAACAAUACCUUUGAUUCCUAUACUGCUAAGCCCUCCUUCGACUCCUGCGACCGCCGUGACUGCGAACGAUAGUGAGAGAGGGAUUGUGAAUCUGACCGGAGGAACCGUGAACGUGAGAGGGAGGAGGAAGCCAAAGGUCGAGAGCGGGCGUAGUUGGAUAAGCUAGCUGAGAGGGAAAGGGAAAAGGAAUUGGAUAAGCUAGCUGCAAUUAAUGAGCAGUACCUCGGAUCUAAAAAGCCUAAAAUGAGGGUUAUUAAACCUAGCGAGAAAUUUAGGUUUUCUUUCGAUUGGGAGAGCACCAAAGAUACUUCCAGAGACAUGAAUUCUUUGUACCAAAACCCUCACGAGGCACAAUUUUUGUUUGGUUGAAGGUUUAGGGCUGGAAUGGAUCGUAGGGACCAGAAAAAGCUAGCUACCAAAAAUGAGAAGGGGAUGAGAGAAGAGAUCAGGAAAAAAAAAGGGGGUUGAAGCUGAAGGAAGCGGCAGCGCAGAGGUAUAAACUCUCCAUUGUUUGGAUGUCGAGAAAUUCAAUAGAGAAAAUGAAAGAGAAAACUCAAAUCAACAGUAGGCAUCUCCAUUUCUUCCCUUCUGCUUCUUCUUCCAACAAUUAGGUUUCUUAAAUUGGGGUUCCACCAUUGCUAGCUAACGUUCAACGUGGCUAGUUAACGAGCCACCUCAACUUUUCAUUUCGUCUGUAACGAAAAAUGUCUAUUAGUGACUGAUUUGUCAUUUUUAUAAAGUUUAGUAAUUGAGUUGUAACAUUUUAAAGGUUAGUGACUUUUUGUUAUUUUAAUUAAAGUUGAGUGGUUGUUGGUGAACUCUACCCUAAAUAUAAUUUGUAAAAUAUUUUGAUAUUUUAUUAUACACAUUUCAAUUUAAUGUCCUUAACUGUAAUUUUUUUAUUCCAAUCUCGUCGCUAACGAUACGUUUGAAUCCAAACACAUAUCUUAUCGAUAGCUUUAAUCUUAUUAUCACACUUAUUUUUAAUCUUACCGAAACUAAUCAGGUCCAUUUAAUCUCGAUUCGGUGCGUUUGGAAUAUUUUUUGACCAAAUCGUACCAUACCAAUCCGUCUAGAUUGUAAAGAUCAACACGAUUGAAGCAUCACUCAAUGCACUGGACUAGGGUUUCUCCACCGGAGCUUUAUGUUCCAGUCAAAUGUUUCAACAUCCAUUGAUGGUCAUUUUCUUUACACCUUAUCUCUUUGUCCAUUUUACCUUUUUGUCUCUUUCUUCUUUUAUCUUCUGCUUCAAUAACUUUGUAUUUUCAUUUGUAAGAUGCUUUUAUUAAUUUAAAAUAAUAAUCAUUUUCCCUUUUAUUUUAUAAUAAACUAAUAUACGUUAUUAUCAAAACAACUUUUAAUUUACCAUUUCUUGAACAACUUUUAGAUUAUUUGUUUUACUUUUUAAUUAUUUUGAUUUAAAAAAUGUUAAAAUUUUCCAUUUCAUGUAAUAACAUAUUUAUAUAAUUACAUGCUAAUUAGGUAAAUCAUCUAAUAAAUAUAUUAGAUAAUAUAUUAAUAAUUUAUUAAUUUAUAUUUUCAAAUAAGUUUUAAGUACAACCAUAUUAAAUUUUUUUAAUGUAAUUAAUGAUCAUUUUGUAUUUUUACAAUAAUUCACCUCAUUGCCAUCGUUGCGUUCGAAUCUAAACACAUUCAAUCAUUGAUUUUAAUCACACUGCUAUAGUACCUAAUCUCACCAUUAUAAUAACCAAUCUCAUCACCACCAUUGCUUUUAACCUCACCAAAGUUAAUCUCACUACCCAUCCAAAAGUUGUACUAAAAAUACCCUAAGCAAUGUGGCCUGUGAUAUUUUUAUGCAUGUCAUUAAAAAAUAAAUUAAUUGAAAAACAUAUUUUAUAAAAUUAAAUUAAAAGAAAUGAAGAUAAAAUCAUUUUUAUCAACUCAAAAAUUAAAGGUAAACUACAAAAAUGGUCACUAAACUUUGGUAAAAUUUCUUUUUUUACCACUGAAUUAUGAAAGGUUGCAUUUUGGGCACUAAAGUUAUUGACUUGUAACAUUUUGGUCACUCAUUUGUUAAUAGCCAUUAUAGCCUUAAUAGAAAAGUAGGGCGGCACAUUAAUUCAAGGGUUAAUAUCCAAUUUAAUCCCUGAACUAUAACUAAAACAUUCAAUUUGGUACAUUUAUAACAUUGAGAUCUUGUUGAGCAUUGAUUCGUUAGUCUUGGGUUAGCCGAUGAUUUCCAGAGAUAAGCCAGAUUAACUUGUCUAACUUGGUAAAACUGAGAUCGAGAGGUAAAAUGGAACCAUUUUAAGAGUUCAAGCAAUUUGGAUCCCUAAUUAGAGUAUGAGCAAACCACAUCGAGAUCAAUCAACCAUCGUUUGUUAUUUAUUUGUUAGUUUUGAAAAUUCGUACGUCUUACAAUUUAGUCAUUAGUAGCUAGAUCAUAUAUUAGUAUAAUUAUCCUUGACGUCAUGAUUUGUCGUACUAUACUGUUUAGUGAUUAGUUGAUUAGACUUUCUAUUUUGCACCCUCGAUAGUAGAAAUUGUUCAAUCCCCGACUCUAUUGGGUUCGAUCCUCGGAGUACUCCUGUACUCCGUUGUACAAAUAUGUUACAACUGACUUGUCACACUUGUAAAUAUCACACUUAUUAGUUUUAUUUUUGCUGUUUUUGUUUGUUGAUUCUUCCUCCUCCCAUAGCUUACGAAGGGUGACGAGUUGGAGGGCAGUCAUCAUCCCAUGUACUAACAUGAAGGGCUUCUGGGAAUCAUUCAUGUCGGGUCCAAUUAUAAGUACUUCUUGAAAUUUUAAACCAACAAUUUAUAAUUUAAUCCAACCUAGUACAUAUUUUUCUAUUUUUCAAAAUAAACAUCAUAAAUUAAUUUUAAUUAAUUAAUUAAUUUUCUAAUUAUAAACUUAUUUAGUCACAAAGUCAUUCCACUAUAGUAUCGUGAUUGAGCUUUCUCUAAUGACAUACCAUUACGAAAGAAACUCUAUCAAUACUCGUCCAAUGACCUUGUCAUAAGUGUGUUACCUUCAUAGGAUAUCCUUAAUAUAUCUGGGAUAAAUCUGCUCUCCAAAUAUGAUGCCAUUUUAUCUCAUGGUAAUCGUUACAUCUUCCUUCAUGAAAAGUCAAUUACUAUCAAAUAGUAAUGAAGUCAUUCAUCACAAAGAAGAACGACAGCCGUGACUACGUUUAUUUUUCAUAUAUCAUGUAAUGUCAAUGAGAGGAUAUCAUUUACCCGUGUCUUAGGCUAUGAAUUCCACUAUUGUGAAUUAUGCUGCAUACUACAAAACUCGUAUACCCAACACACUAUCUUUCGAUUCCUUAUAUAUUUAAAUUCAAGCUUUUACUUACAUCAAUGUAGACGAGUCACACAUACAUAGCCUAUCAUCCACUUAGGAUUAAGGUAUGUCACCAGUGAAUAAAUCCAUAAAUAGAUUCAAGAUCUAUUCUGCUUUAGUCCAGUUUGAUGUACUGUCAGUCCAGUCAGUCACAUCUAUGUCUCUAUCUUCUAGGAGUCAUUCGCUCUAAUGCCCAAAACAAAGCAUCUCAUCAAUUGGACUUGAUAGAUGACAUAUUAGUCUUUCAAUCGAUUUGUUCAUUUCCAAUUAAAAUAAGGUCAUGUUUAGGUUCGUCUACGAACAUAAGUUUUCUUUCUAUAUUACAAUCCGACCACAUAAUACUUCUUGGUAUUAAUUAAACAUUUAAACAACUAGUGAGUUAAUAUUUGAUUCUAUUUUACUUUACAUGAAAAAAAACCAUAUCAGGACAUUAUACAAAGGGUAUUAAGGUAAUCCAUGAAUAACUUUAUUAACCAAUCUGUUGAAAAAAUACAAUUGGACAUAGGUGAAAAUACUACACUUAAGGUACUAGAUCCAACAUACGUAUAGGCCUAUUUGAUCUUGUAUAUGGGCAUUUUGUUUGUAUAAUUGAAAUAUAUGAAUUAUGCCAUAUUUAUUGGUUUAAUUUUAACAAAAAUGAAUGAAUAUAAUUUGAGUUACUUCAGAAACAAGUUGUGACAUCUCGCGUGUCACAUCCCAAAAAUGGGGUUAGUGAAUCGAAAGUUUGAUUGGGAUACCAGAGUAAGGAUAGAAGCGUUUAAUAAAAAUUAAUAAAAUAUUAAAUAAUUGAUCGAGAUUAAAAUUUAGGUGAAGGAAUUAAAAUUGGGUGUUCAAGAAUCAAUUAUUUUAAAACGGAUUAUAAAAACGAAACCAAAAUUGAAAAUAUAAUGAAAUAAUGCUUAAUUUUAAGGGAAGGACUAUUUUGAAAAAAGGUGAAAAUAGGGAGUGUUUAAAUGGGGCAAUUGCCCAAAUUUAAAAAAUUGGUUGGCUAUUUAACAUUUCCCAUUUCUAUUCCAUCUCAUUUCAACUCUCAUUUAAAACUUCUCCUGAAUCUAAAUCUAAUUGUUUCUCUCAAAAUUAAUUCAUCCCUAAAGAUUUUUUAGCCUUCCAGACACCGGUUCUUCCUUCAAUUUCAAAUAAAAUUCAAGUUUUCUUCAUUAAUUCUUUCAUUAUUCAUCACAUGUUUUAUCUUGAAUUUGAUCCACAACUCAUCGAUGUCUUCAAAUUGAGGUAACAUAUUGAUUCUUAUUGAUAAUUCUAAGUUCGCUUUUUUUUUUGUAAUUUGAGAUUUUAUCAAUGAUUACGAGAUUUUAAUGGAUCUAAAGCUUUUACAUUGAAUUUUUAUUCAAAAAUGGUGAAAUCUGAAUUAUUGAGUAAACUUGUUGUUUUAAAGUGAUUUUCAACUUAUUUUGAACUAAUUAGAAGGUUUUUGAACUCAAUUUAACAAACCAUUUAUGGUUUUCAUGAAUUGAACAUUUUCCCUCUUUUGAUGUUCAUGUAAGCUUAUUUUUUGAAAAACUUAGAUUCGAGAGAUUUGACGAAAUUGAUGGUUUAGGUAUAUAAUAAUAUGGUAUUUAAGAUGUUUAAAAACAUGUUUGAGGUUUAGAAAUGAUAAUUAAGUGAUGAAAUCUCCUGUUUUAGUAAAAUGAGUUAGUUUUCAGUAUUGAGUAAGAAGAGGCUAGAUCCACGAUUUUACUGCUAAUUGAGGGUGUUUGUGGCUAUUCAUGAUGUCCUUGAAAUGUUUUUUUUGUGUGUGCAAAGCAUCGGAUCUAUCGGGAACCUUUACGAGUAAGGUGAAGAGGAAAGAAAAGCUUAUAUGAUCUUUUAGUGUGCAAAAGGAAAUUGCAAGGUAAAUGGUCUGGUGUGCUGUAAUUAUGCACAAAUCAAUGUGUUAAAGGGGAGCUUAGGCAGCCUAAACAUCUAACCUAAGUUCCAAGAGUAAGUGAUUUUACUUAAGUUUUUGUAAAUUGCAAAUGGUGCUUAUAUGUAAUGAGUCUAUGACAUGUUAAUGUGAUUAUAUGUGAUGUGAUAUGUUAAAAUAAAACUUUUGAUCUGCUGGUCUGAUGCACACAUAUGAGAUUAUUGUAAUUAUGGCUCAACGAGCAAUUGUGAUAGCACUUAAAAAGUGUUUUAAAUGAGAAUGUGAUAGUAUUAUGAAUCAUGAUGAACAUGAUAUAUGAAAGUGUGCAUAAACUAGAAAAUAAAUGUAUGUUUAAGUGGAUAUAUUGGCAUUGUGAUCUCUUGGAACCAUUGGAUAUAGUUGGAAUGCCAUAGGGUUGUGAGCACUCACCAUUUUUUAUUUUGUUUGGGGUGAUGAGGCCUGAAGAUAGUGAUGGAGAGAUAAGAGAAUGUUUAGCAUAACUUCAUUCACCGAAUAUAACGUGGUGUGUUUGGAAAGUGUUAGCAACCAUGCUACAAUUGCAUGAAGAUAGCUUACAACUCUAUAUGUCAUUUGGUGUGUUAGGAGAUCCGUUUAUCCAAUGCACAUAUGUUUAUACAUGUUUCCUAGUUACAAUAUGUCAAUAUAUUAACAUGAAUUUUUAUGAUACAUGUUUGAUGUAAUACCAUGAGUAAAAGAUAUAGUAUGCUUUUUAUUAAACUUGAUAUUGUGGAUUCUUUGUAGCAAUCUUUGAGCACUUACUGAUCUUGAAAAAGCUUACACUCUUUUAUGUAUAUUUUGCAGAGAAAUAGCUAGCUUAAGGAGGAGAAGUGAUGAUGCGAUCUCGUAUUUGUUGAUGAAAUCAAGUCACUUUGUUCCCAAUCGUAAAAUUAAGUAACGAGGUUUUGGUUUAACAAAAAAGGUUGUUUUCAAAUGGUGAUAGUUUAAACAAAGAAAAUAAAUAGAUGAUAUCAAAACACGAAAUAAGCAUACAUAAUUGAGAACACGAAUCAAGUAUUUAUCAUGUAAAUCAAAAAUCAAAUAAUAAAAUUCAUCAUAGGUUUCAUCUUCCCUAGGUAUCUAGGGAAUUUAGUUCAUACUCCUAAAUAGAAACAUCUCAAAGUUAGGAUAACAACAAGACAUAAAGAAUUUUAAUAAAACUUCAAAAGAAAUUAAAAGGAGAUCUUCAAUCUUGAAAGAGAUCCGCUCUGAGCUGAUUUCGAUGGCGUUCUCUGAGUCUUUUCUUCAAUCUUCUCUGCAUCCCCCUUAGGUCUUCUUCUAGUUGAUAUUUAUACACUUUAGAAUGCUCAGAAAGCCUAAAAUUUGAGUUUUUCCGCAUGUUUGGGAAACAAGGUGCUAUAUUGACACGGGCUGGCACAUGGGCGUGUGGCUCACACGGGCAUGUGGCCAGCCUGUGUGGAAGUGCCCAGGCCAUGUGGAUCUUGAAAACAGCUCUAUUUGUCUGAUUUUUUCUCGUUUUUCACUUUUUUCACUCCCAAAUGCUCUCCUAAGUAUAGAAACAUGAAUUUAAGGGAUUAAGAUCAUCAAAUUCACUAAUUUAAAUCAUUAAUCAUCCAAAAAAUGCAUUAAAAAUGAGAUUAAAUGUUAAUUUUAUAACUUAUCAAGAUGCAACAACAAAUAAUUGGUUAAAACAUUCCAUGUGUUAUAAAAUCUCUUUCUUUUCUCUUUCAUCAUCACUUUCAUCACCGCUGGAAUUCUCAACUAUACUCAUCACCUGUGAAUAAAUUUUAUAUCCAAAAUCAUAUAUAAACAACUAUUGAUAAAACUAAUUUAGUAUAAAUAAGUAGAACAUAAAUUUAACAUCCAAAAAUCAAAUAUAAACAAUUAUUGAUAAAACUAGCCCUAAGCAUAAAUAAUUAGACCAUAAAUUCAAUAUCCAAAGACCAAAUAUAAACAAAUAUUGAUAAAACUAGAUUACACAUAAAUAAACAGAACAUAAAUUCAAUAUCCAAAAACCAAACAUAAAUAGCCAUUGAUAAAACUAGAUUACACAAAAAUAAGUAGCACAUAAAUUCAAUAUCCAAAAACCAAACAUAAAUAACUAUUGAUAAAACUAGUUUAGCAUUGUUGUUUAGUCACAUAGUAGGUAUCUCUGAACCCUAGAAGAUCAAAAAAUUUUCAACUAUCCUCCAUGUAACACCCCUUACCCGAGACCGUUGCCGGAGUCGAGCACGAGGCGUUAUCUGACUUAACUUACUAGAUUGGAGCAUAAAAAUUUACUUUUAAAAUUAAUUCGCUCAUGUUCAAUCAAUAUGUCCCUAAAAAGGACCCUCGAGACCCUAAAACAUGUAAAAAAAAUGGUUUAGGUUAAAACUAGGAACAUUAAAAAUUUUCCGAAUACUUAAACAGAUUAAAAUAAUUUAUUUCACUGUUCACAAUAAAACUGUACACCUGCGUAACAAUCACUAAUUUAAUUAUAACUUAAGUUACAAAACUCGAAACUUAGAUCCAUAAAUUUUCCCUGCAACCAGAUUCAUAUAUCUUAUUAUCAUAAAAUUUCUAGAAUUUUUGGUUUAGCCAAAUAGUAAAUUUUAUUCUUUAAAGUUUCCCAUGUUACACCAUCUGACUGUUCUGCCCUCUAUUCACUAAAAGUUAAUUAUCUCAUUGUACAGAAUUUAGAUAAUGUUCUAGUUUGUUUCUAUUGAAAAUAGCUCACUAAUGAAUCUAUAAAUAUAAAUUAUGACUCAUAAUUCUUUCUAUAAAAUUUUUAAUGAUUUCCUGAAGUCAGAAUAGGGGACUUCAACAACCAUUCUGAACCUAUCUCACUAAAUUUCAAAUAUCUCACAAUAUAAAAUUCCUUUCCCUACACCGUUUCUUUCAUGUGAAAAUAGACUCGAUAAGAUUUAAUUUUAUAUCUCAUUCACUCUCUAAUUCCAUUUCUAAUAUUUCUAGUUAUUUUUCAAAAUCAUGUCAAUGGUGCUGUCUAAACACUAUUCCAGUGCAAAUUUUUACUCUUUUAUAAUUUCUUUGUAUUAACUAUCAUUUAGGCAUACAUAACACCAAAACAUGUUCUUAAUUAGCCAUUUCAAUAGCUAAUAUUUAUCGAAUAUUUACAUGCUAUUCAUUAGCCAUAUCAUAAGGACACACACACAAAAUGACUAAGUCCCUAUACAUACCAUAACUUAAAAUGUUUCGAAUCACAAAAUACCGAGAUGGCCUGAUGAUAGUGUGAAACAAUCUCUGACGUCUUUAGAUCCCUGAAUUGGCUUGGCGAUACUAUAAAAAAGAAGGAAAAUAAAGGGAGUAAGCGUAAAGCUUAGUAAGCUUACAAACAAACAAAUAACAAAGUUUAUCAUAAAUAAUUAUACUCAUAAAUUAUCAUCAAGUAUCAUGAUCUUUACUUUCUUCUUUACUUACUCUCUUACUUGUUUACUUACUUGCUUACUUAAAUAACUCAUGAUUAUAACUUACUCUUCCCUCACUGAAACUUCUUUCUCAACUGAUAACUGAAAUAUUCUUAACCCUUAUAACUCACCUGAAUCUAUUUAUUAUGUUUUUACCUGAACUUUCAUGUAACAUAGUCUCUUUACUAGCACGUUAAACUACUUGGAAUACUAAGGAUACUCGGGUCUCCUGUCUAAUAGUAACAUGCCAAAGCCAUGUCCCAGACAUGGUCUUACAUGGGAUGUUUCCCGUACUGCCAAUGCCAAUCUCAGAUAUGCUCUUACAUGGGAGUUCUCAUAUCGGUGCCCAUGCCAUGUCCUAGACAUAGUCUUACGGGGGACCUUUCAUCUCGGUGUCAACGCCAUGUUCCAGACAUGGUCUUGUGUGGGACUCUCAUAAUCUCAAUAAUGCCAAUGCCAUGUCCCAGAAAUGGUCUUACAUGGGAUCUCAUUCCCUUAAUGUCAUGACAUUUGUAUCCGAUACAUUCUUAAUGUUUCAACGAGACUUUUUAACACUGAUUCUCUAUCAUAUCAUACUUGAGUCAACAUUAAAUAAUUUCAUGAAAUAAGUACAUAGUUGCUGGAAAAUAACAUUAUUAAUAAUAAUUAUUGAAAUAUUGCAUUUAUUUACCGUAAACUUACCUCGGUACAAAAUACGAUCAAAUCUAACAACUUAGUCCUCAACCUUUUUCUUUCCCCUGUCUAAAUCUAGAUUUCGUUCCUCUUGAUCUAUAAUAGAAAAUUUAGCUUAUUUAAUACUCACAUUCAUCAAAACAGUCCUUGACUCGAACUUUGGAAAAAUUAUGAUUUUGCCCCUAAACUUUGUAUAUUUACACUUUUGCCCCAAAGCUAAGAAAUUAAACUUCAUCCCUUAUUCUUAUGUUUUAUGACAUGCUGAACAUCUUUCCAUUCUAUGGCAACAUCAAAUUCCCACUCCAACAUUUACUUAUGAACAUUAGGUAUUUUUACCGAUUAUGUCGUUUUACUCGUUUUCACUUAAAAUCGCCUAGCAAAAUUUGUUUAACAUAAUUUCAAGCUUCACAUUCUACCAUAAAACAUCAAAAUAAACACAUUUCACCUAUGGGUAUUUUUCCAAAUAUGAACCCUAACAUGAAUUAAUGGUAAAAUAAGGUAAACCGAGCUACGAGGACUCCAAAAACGUAAAAAAAAAUUAAAAACGGGGCUUGGAUGCACUUAAUAUGAGCUUGAAAAAAUUAAGAAACCCUAGAUAUGGUGUCCUUGAAAUUUCAGCCCUAUGGAGAAGAUGAGCACGUUUUGCCAUCUUUUUCCCUUUUUAAUUCUUUUUAUUACCAAAUGACUAAAAUGCCCUUCAUUAAAACUUUAGUUAUUUUUAUCUAUGCAUAGCCAUUUUUGUCCAUGAAAAUCUAAUGGUCUAAUUACCAUUUAAGGACCUCUACUUCAAUUAUGCACUUCAAUUAAAUCCUUUAUCAUCUAAAACUCAUAUUUACCCACUUUUGCAAUUAAACCCUAAUAUGCAAUUCAGACAUGCAAUCGCUGAAAUUUCUUAUCGGUAUUCUAACACAUGCAUCCAAUCAAUCGAUAAAUCAUAAAAAUUAAUCACAAUAAACUUUUCUAUCUUAGAUUCGUGGUUUCGAAACCACUAUUUUAGAAUGUUAGAUUUCUCCCCCUUUAGGGAUUUUCGUCCCCGAAAAUCUUACAUGUGAAGAGAUUUGGGUACUAUUUUCGCAUAGUCUCUUCUGGCUCCCAUGUAGCCUCGUCUACCCCAUGCCUAUCCCAUAAUACUUUUGCAAGUGCAAUACUUUUAUUCCUUAGUUGCUUGAACUCUCAAGCUAGAAUCUCUAUCGGUUCUUCACCGUAAGUCAUAUCUGGCUGAAUCUCAACCUUUGUUUGAGAAAUCACAUGUGACGGAUCUGAAUGAUAACGACGUAACAUAGACACAUGGAAUACUUCAUGAAUCUUCUCUAACUCAGUCGGCAACAGUCGGCAAAGCUAACUGAUAUGCUAAGGGCCCAAUUUUUUUAGUCACCUUGAACUAUCUAAUAAAACGUGGACUUAGUUUUCCUUUCUUGCCAAAUAUGAGAACUUUCUUCCAUGGGGAUACUUUCAAAAAUACCCUGUCACCAACCUGAAACUCAAUCUCUUUUCUUUUCAAAUCUGCAUAGGAUUUCUGUCUAUCUGAAGCUACUUUCAAGCAAUCUCUAAUAACUUUUACUUUCUCUUCUGUUUCUUUGACUAGAUCAACCCCGUAAAUCUAUUUUUCCUUAAGCUCUAUCCAAUACAAAGGCGUACGACACUUACGUCCAUACAAAGCUUCAUAAGGUGUCAUCUUCAAACUCAACUGAUAACUAUCCUUGAAAUUCUAAAACACAACAUUUGAGCAUAUCCUCAAGUAUCUAAAUAACUCUCUCUAAUUGACCAUCUGUCUGAGGAUGGAAAGUUGUACUAAAACUCAACUUUGUGCCCAAAUCUUCCUGUAAUUUCUUCCAAAACUGCGAAGUAAAUCUCGGAUAUCUAUUUGAGAUAAUCAAUAACGGUACUCUAUGUAAUCUGACUAUCUCUGAAAUAUACAACUCAACCAACUUGUCAAGUAAAUAAUCCAUAUGAACUGGGAUAAAAUGAGCCGACUUCGUUAGCUUAUCAAUUACAACCCAUACUGCAUAUUUCUUUCUCGAUGUCAACGACAACCCUUUCACAAAAUCCAUGGUAACUCGGUCCCAUUUCCACUCAGGAACUAACACGGGCUGUAAUAAACCUGAAGGUACCUGAUGUUCGGCCUUUACCUGCUGACAAAUCAAGCAUCUAGAAACAAAUUCUAAAAUAUCUCUUUUCAUUCCUGCCCACCAGUACGUUUUCUUCAAAUCAUUAUACAUCUUUAUACUACCUGGGUGAAUAGACAAAGAAUUGCUAUGUGCUUCCUGUAAGAUCUUUCGAAUAAGCUCAUCAUUCUUCGGUACAUAUAUUCAUUUUCUGAACAACAAACAACCAUCAAAAUCAAUCUGAAAAUCAAACUCUACACCUGACUCGCACUGAGCUCUUUUAGCUUGUAACUCACUGUCAUCUUUCUGAGCUUUAUAGAUUUCUUCAAUAAACAUCGGUUUAGCUCUCAACUCAGCUAAAAUAGAACCGUCAUCUGAUAAAGCCAAACUAGUAUUCAAAACUCUCAAUGUAAAUAAAAACUUUAUACUCAAGGCAUCAGCAACAACGUUUGCCUUACCCGGGUGAUAAUCGAUCACUAGCUCAUAAUCUUUAAUAAAAUCUAGCCAUCUUCUUUGCCUCAAGUUCAAAUCUUUCUGGGUCAUCAAAUAUUUCAAACUUUUAUUGUCAGUGAAUAUUUGGCACUUCUCACCGUACAAGUGAUGUCUCCUGAUCUUCAACGCAAAUACACUGGCAGCUAGCU
rnacentral:lncRNA from 1 species